rnacentral:rRNA from 1 species
UACGUAGGGUCCAAGCGUUAUCCGGAAUCACUGGGCGUAAAGCGUGCGUAGGUGGCGCGUUAAGUGAGAUGUUAAAUCGUGUGGCUCAACCAUAUCGAUGCAUCUCAUACUGGCGUGCUAGAGGACAGCAGAGGCAAGUGGAAUUUGUAGUGUAGCAGUGAAAUGCGUAGAUAUUACAAGGAACACCAAUGGCGAAGGCAGCUUACUGGGCUACUCCUGACACUGAGGUACGAAAGCGUGGGGAGCGAACAGG